UACGGGGGGGGCAAGCGUUGUUCGGAAUUACUGGGCGUAAAGGGCUCGUAGGCGGCCAACUAAGUCGGACGUGAAAUCCCUCGGCUUAACCGGGGAACUGCGUCCGAUACUGGAUGGCUUGAGUUCGGGAGAGGGAUGCGGAAUUCCAGAUGUAGCGGUGAAAUGCGUAGAUAUCUGGAGGAACACCGGUGGUGUAAACGGCUUUCUGGACCAUAACUGACACUGAGGCACGAAAGCGUGGGUAGCAAACAGG
rnacentral:rRNA from 1 species